AAACUAGGAAGGCUGAGCUCUGUCACUGCUAGGCUGUGAGGCUUGAUGUCUUGCUGUCUUUGGGCUGAAGCUUGGUAGCCUGGGCCUCUUUCACACUGCACAGUUACCUGGGUUAUAAUUUUCUCUCUUUCCCUUGGGACCUAGCUUUUCAGUAAUUAUAUAAAUGACGAGGUGCUAUUUGAGGAAAAUAACAGAAGCAUUUGAUAGUACUGAUGGAAAAGCAUUGCUUGAAAACAGAACUCAAGAGAUCAUGAGUAAGGCUUGAACGUGUCAGUGCAAUGUGAAUGAAUGUGUCAAAGACAUGAUGCUAGUCAUUAUCAUGUUCUUGCAUGCAUUUAAGAGCAGGCUUAAGCAACAUCAUCUCAUUUGAGAGUCUGCUCCUCUGCUUUCCUGCCGCUGGAUGUGGACUCACCCCAAAGAAAUUGCAUCUUGCAGAAGCAGGAAGGCCUUGUACAAGCAGACCUGCAAUUCUGAAGGUCAGACACAGUGCAUCAGGCCCAGCUUUCCAGGAGGAGCAACUAGCGGGUGCCCCAGAGGUACAUUUGUGUUGAGGAGCAGCAGCACAGACAGGCUACAGUUUGCUGGGCCCAUGCAGCAGCUCAGGGCAGGAGCUGGGGGUCGCUAAGGACCUCUCCAGUUUUAGAUCUGCACAGGAAACACAUGAUGCUCUUUUCUAAUUUCUAAAUGACUUGUGCAACCUCUCUGCUUAACAGCCUGUGGCAUGAUCACGGAGAGGGACUUCCUGCCCAGUUGCAAGAUUGAUUUGGACACCAAAGCUCCUUCUGUGUAGUCUUUGGUUCUUUUUUUUCCUUCCUUUAGUUUUCACCACAGUAAAGUGAAGCCACAAAGUCCAUACAUUACAGGCAGUCAAGCAGCUAUUUGUAAAACACAUAACACAAUCCCAAAUGCAUUCAGAUAUGGCAAACAUAAAAUCAUAAUGAGUAGCAAUUGGAGAAAAAGAAAAGAAUGAAUAAAAGAAGGGGAAAAUGCUGAAAAAACUGAAAAGUAUAUUAAUUUUUGUCAGCAAAGAGAAAGCAACCACUGGAAUAAAAAGUUCCAAGUUUUUCUUCAAAGCCAAGGUGAGACAGAGAUAGCUAUGCACUGGGCAUUAUGCAGAAUGGCUGAUGUCCUCCUGUGGGCUACAUGGGAGCUGCAGCACCUGGCCACACUUGCCAGUGAUGUUACUGCAUCCUGCCAGACUGGAUGGAACAUCAGUGCCACAGGAACUCUUCAGCAAGACCCCCAAGAGGAUCUUGAGAAUCUUUAAUGUCCUUGGCUGUAUCAGACGCUUCCUCAGGCUGCUCUUUGCCAGACCCUGCCAACAUACUGCCAAGCUGCUGGGCUCUGGUUUUGAGGGCAGGAAACAAAACAGUUUUUCAAUCAGCAGUGUCUUGACAAGCAAAGAGGCAAUGAAAUCCGUGAGUGCUGAUGGUGAUAUUUCCCAUGCCUUCUCAUUCUUGUCUCCAGUGUUCUCUGAAAUACGUUGAGACUGUUGUAUGUUAAAUGUAGAUAUUUUGACUGCCAGGUCAGUUUACAUUAAGAAUAAUAACUCAGCGAUAUUUCACCAGGAAAAAAAAAAAAAAAAAAAAAAAGAUUAUAAUUAAAAUAGGCUCUAAAAAUGAUUUACAUAUUUUGCAAUACCACAAGAAUGUGGUUGUUUAUUAUGCCAGGUUUGUCAGGUUACAGUCAUUCCUGUACGUCUUAGAUCUCAGGUUCCUGUACACUGCUUGUGGCAAGUUUACUGCAAGAACAAAUGUCCACUGCUUUAAACUGAGACAAUUAUACAGAAAAGCUCAUUUUAUAUAUAUGUAUACUUUUUAACUCUGCCCCUAUCUAGGCCUUCUCAUCUCUCAACGAUUUCAAAAGUAGGAAAGUCUCUGAAAAAAGAAAUGAGAAAUGGUGUGGCGGUCAGUCUCACUUCCCUCUGUGCUCCAAACCAACCCUAGCAAGGAAUCAGCCCUUAACAGGGGUAAGGUGCGGCUGCUCCAGGAAGAACCAAGUUGCCAAACUGCUCCUAGCAGUUCCAGGUCAUUACUGCAGUAUUUGAACACUUUGGAAAACCGUGGCUGGUGAGAUUAGAGGCAUGUCUCAAGACUAUCUGUAAGACUUUUUUUUUUUCAUGUGUUUUAUGUUUUUAAAAGAGGGGAAACCUGGAAAUCUAAACUUCAAAGUCACGUUUCACCUUGGUCCCUCCAAGUGAAGCAAAAAGCAAGGGCAGCCAAGCUAACAGACCUAUAAAGAGUGACUGACUUUUUCAUAAAGUUGAAGCUAUUUGAGGUCUUAAUACAACGGUCAGUCUAAAUAAAGCCUUCCAUUCCUUUAUUUCUACAGUAGGAAUAAGUAGCUUUGAUUUUAAGAAAUAUGCAGUGUACAAGUGGUAGAAUAAGUAUGAAGGACUAGUGACUCGGUGUUGCUAUCAGUUAAAUUAAUUGGGAAAAUCCAGUUGAAAUCCCUGGAAAUUAAGUCUUUGUGAGAUAUGCUAAGCAUGUUUUAUUGGAUAUUUUCAUUGUUUGUCUAGUCAGUUGGCUUGUUUUGUUGUGUUUGUUUUUAAUAAAAACAACCACAUAUAAUUCUCACAUAAUCAAAUACACACAUAACACACCUGGAGCUUUUCAUUCUCACCCCCACCAAUUGCAAAUGCUUUCAUCAGAAGAUACUAUUAUGUUAGCACAGAAACUUACAUCCAGUCUGACAAGAUUUUGGGCAAUUGCCAAGCCCAAACGUUCCUUGUCAAACAAGAGGGACUGGGACAUACCCACCUGAGACAGUCAACAAUGCAUGGCCAGGAUGCCUGAGACACAGCAUGCCUCUACUAGAACUUCCUCUCCCUGAUGCACAAGAGCCAUAUAGAUAACAACAGCCCAACUGCUGUAAGAUUUCAGCUUCUAAGGCUGGAGAAUCAUUUCUUCUUUCUUGAAAUGCUGGGUUUUUUACUCAGAAGAGAACAACUCCAAAAGGAGAAACUGGAAGAGCUGCAUGCACUGGUUUCAGACAGAGCACUUAAGGAUGUGGCAGAUUUAGGUUCACCCCCAUGUGUAAAUUAAAGAAGGUGAAGGAUUUGAACCUUGUCUGUGCCCUACAGCAGUGCCAUAUUUAUCAAGUCUGGUUUGCAACAUACUACCGAGAUCUGUUGGUGUUUGGCUUCAGGAAUUCUUUUCCAUGUGGAUCCUCUGUGGAUUUUGUUUCCAUGAUGUUUCUUUCACCAGCUGGAUCCAUCCCAGUCUGCUGGUGUGAAGGACUCAUUCCAGAACCAGUAACAACAUCUUUCCCUUUCUUUACAGCCUGCUCAAAGCAGGGGUUCCAUUUCCAGCUGCAACCAAGCUCCUCUGAGAUCUCCAUGAGACAUCAAAUCAGUAAUAUCCCAUCUGUUAAAAAGGAGUGAAGAACACAUGAAAGGAGAAAGAAAGGCAAGGCAGGUAUGCUCAUGACUGCCAAAGACAACUGCUUCAGUCUUUUUCUGAGGCUUGAGCUGGAAUAAGCAUCAGCUUUCUACAGUUUUACCAACUACUGCAUGUCUUUGUGAAGGAUUUCUGCACUGUCAGAUACAGAGUAGUCUGUAUUGGAUGCGUCUUCUCAUACUGAAAUACCAACAGCACUUGAAUGAUGUCAGGACUUAGCCAAGAUAUCCAGAGAUGCUUCUUAAGGCUAGAUUCGUUACUGAUGCCCCAGCUAAGGCCAGAAGUGUAUGUUCUUCAACCUGAUGGCUGAAUCACAUUCUGCCUAAAAGACAUUUUUCAGUAUGCAUGAUUUUUUUUUUCAAAGAGGUUUUUUCAAAGUUGUGCUUGCUGCAGAUAAAAUAUUUUAACUGAUCUAAAAGGAAAUGCUAGAUCUUGCUCUUAGGAUUUGAAUCCCUUCAUUUUUAACAAUUAUUCCAAAUGUUUGGAAAAGCAUAUUAAAGUAUAAUAUGCAUUUUCUAGCUGAAGGAAUCACCACUUCUGUUAAACUCUAGGUAUAGUUACUGUCUUCCUAAAAACCCUUAAUUUUGAUGAAUAACACAUCUUUCACCAAAGUAUCUGAAUAUUGCCUCCUUUACAGAAAAUGUUGAGUGCUUUUGUCUGCAAGCUGUUACUUCUUGGUUUAAUCAAAAAGGCCACCCAAAACAUUAGAACUCUGGCUGUUACUCAAGACGUGUCUUUGCGGGCUGGCAAAGGUUUUAUGACAGAUACACAACUCUCUUGUUACUUAAUGCAGAAUAAUGGAGAUUUAGAUUUAGAUUAAAAUGUUCCAUGGGGGACAGAAGAAGAUUAUUGAAUAAUGAAUUUAUGACUCAGAAAAGAUUCCAUAGCAUCAAACAAAAAAUAAAACAAAACAAAAAAAAUGAAACAUAAAGAUAUGGAACAUCAACUAAAUUUAUCAUUGAGAGCAUGCAGCUCAGUGCUGACUGGAAAAAACAGUCAUAUCACUUGGAAAGUUGACAUGGUGCUGGAGUGCACAGGGGGUUAGUGCCCAGCAGGAUCUUUGAUGGCACUCAUGCAUGGCUGCUGGCAGAUGCUGGCACAGGAGCAGCUCUGAGAGACAGCAGGCAGCCCUCGUGGAGUGGGAUGCAGACUUCCUCUGUCAAGGUGCUCAUAUCAGCAUGCACAAAGCCACCAGGAAGAGUCACCAUCAGCUUCGGGAGAAGAACUUUAAGGAAAGUGGGACACCAAGCUUUGCCAAGUGCACAGCUGGAGCUCCCCCUCAUCCAGACAUUGCAUGUAAAGUAGAAAAGGCACUACCCAGUGUGGCUGAGUUCCAAAACUCUCUCAGCAAAGUUUAUCCUUCAUCAAAUCUACAUGGGACCUCUGGUGAUUGUGCUCCUAACUGUUGCUCUUCAGUUAAAGUUUGGUUGGGAUGACUCUAGAAUCAAACAUUAAAUCAGUAAGGUCUAUGGGUGUCCUAACUCUGUGUCUUUAUUAGAUCUCCCAUUUUUGUGCAUAGCUCAUUUCAGCUAUAAGCUCUUUGUAGUAGCAUCUGUAUUUCAUUAUAUGAUUGCAUAGUAUCUGGGACUGCAGAGAAAUGUAGUUAAUUAAUUCAUUUAACUCAAAUGGAACUUCAUUGUGCUGAAUAAUGGCAGAGAGGUAUGAUCGCUAAAUAAAUUGUCUGCUGUUUAAUUUUAAUUAA